rnacentral:rRNA from 1 species
GACGUAGGGGGCCAGCGUUGUUCGGAAUUACUGGGUGUAAAGGGUUCGUAGGCGGUGUGGCAAGUCGGGAGUGAAAUCUCUGGGCUCAACCCAGAGUCUGCUUCCGAAACUGCUGUGCUUGAGUGUGGGAGAGGCGCGUGGAAUUGCAGGUGUAGCGGUGAAAUGCGUAGAUAUCUGCAGGAACACCCGUGGCGAAAGCGGCGCGCUGGACCACAACUGACGCUGAGGCGCGAAAGCUAGGGGAGCAAACAGG